rnacentral:rRNA from 1 species
GACGAACGCUGGCGGCGUGCCUAAUACAUGCAAGUCGAACGCAGUGGGGAUGGGUGAGUAACACGUGGGUAACCUCCCAUCAGAGGGGAUAACACUUGGAAACAGGUGCUAAACUGCUACUGAUGGAUCGACCCGGAGUGCAUUAGCUACUGGGUGAGGUAACGGCCCACCAAGGCCACGAUGCAUAGCUGACCGGAGAGGAUGAUCGGCCACACUGGAACUGAGACACGGCCCAGACUCCUACGGGAGGCAGCAGUGGGGAAUCUUGGACAAUGGACGAAAGUCUGACCGAGCAACGCCGCGUGUAUGAAGAAGGUUUUCGGGUCGUAAAGCUCUGUUGUUGGGGAGGCGGUAUCUAACCAAGAAGCCACGGCUAACUACGUGCCAGCAGCCGCGGUAAUAC